AUGAAGUCGGAAUCGCUAGUAAUCGUGGAUCAGAAUGCCACGGUGAAUACGUUCCCGGGCCUUGUACACACCGCCCGUCACACCAUGGGAGUGGGUUGCAAAAGAAGUAGGUAGCUUAACCUUCGGGGGGGCGCUUACCACUUUGUGAUUCAUGACUGGGGUGAAGUCGUAACAAGGUAACCGUAGGGGAACCUGCGGUUGGAUCACCUCCUUA
rnacentral:rRNA from 2 species